rnacentral:sRNA from 1 species
UUCUCACAAACUGCCGAAGACAGUAGGUGCCGCGAUGGCAUAAGGUGUGACCGCCUACCGAGGAAUAGAUUAAUCAAGCUAAUAUGCUAGACUAAUAAUCUGCCUCCUGUUUUCGCAGGAGGCAGUUUUUUAUU